rnacentral:lncRNA from 1 species
UUGUCGUGUAAUCUUAGCGGUCUAUGAGGACGAUAUUCGUAACCCCCAAUGGGCUCCCAAAGGAGGUUAUGGCAUUAAUCCUGACUGCGUUAUCUUGCGUAAGGAUUAUGGGGAUAACGAAGGUUGUGUGACUCCUUACAUGAUAUACCUUGAUCAUGAUCAUGCUGAAAUUAUACUGGCUGUUAGUGGACUUAAUUUAGCAAAGGAAAGUGAUUAUGCAGUUUUGCUUGAUAACAAACUGGGCCAGACAGAAUUUCAUGGUGGUUAUGUUCAUAAUGGGUUAUUGAAGGCGGCAGGCUGGGUUUUUGAUACAGAAUAUGAGGUUCUCAGGGAGCUGGUGGCUGAAAAUCCAACUUAUAUGCUCACAUUUAUUGGACAUUCUCUAGGGGCUGGUGUGGUGGCAUUAUUGACAAUGCUAGCCCUUCAUAAUCGAGACAAAUUGGGGAUACAGAGAGACAACGUAAGAUGUUAUGCGAUAGCUCCUGCGCGUUGUAUGUCUCUCAAUUUGGCUGUAAGAUAUGCGGAUGUGAUCAGUUCUGUCGUGCUACAGGUCAGAUAGUCUCCUCUUCUACAAAUUUAAUACUUUACUUUGACUGAUUUACUCAGUUAGCAUGAUCAUGUUUUUAAAGGACAAUGUUAUCUGUCAAAUUUAUAUCAAGAUAUGCACAACAUUAGCAGUGGAUCCAUGAGAAAAAAAAGGUGAUUUGAAAACUUUAAUUGUGGCUGAAGUGAAAUGCUUCUCUUGGUUACAUCAGAACAUGAAGGUCUACUUGGCUUUCUGGUAUAACUGUAUAAUUGUUGAUGAACUUUAUAUGACAUCUAGCAUAUGUCUUCUCCUCCAGCACUGUUGAGGUUCAUGCUAAAUUUAGAAUAUAAGUUAAUAUAACUAGGUCCUAGAUCAUUGAUCAACUUGUACCAAUUGCUUAGGUGAAUAUCUAUGCAAAUGUGAUAUGCAUAUUCUAAGUUAUCAAUGCACUAAUAACUUAUGCUACUAAAAGGUUCAAGAGUGAAGACUGAUACCAUGUAUUAUACAGAAUUUGUCUGGGGAAAAAAGAAGAGAAAAUGACAUGCCCUUCCAAAUUCCGAUAAAUACCACAUUUUGAUGAACGUUUGGGGAAAAGAAUGCUUUUACAGCUCAAGCAAAAAGAUGAAAAUGUGCUUCUGGGAAUAAAUAUAACAAUUAUUCUUAUGAUGAGAUAUUUAUUCAAUGUCUUUUUUCUUGACAUUCCACCUCCCAUGUUUAAUAUGUUUCCUUUUUUUCAAUUCUUUUCAAUUUUGUUGUCUUUCUUUAUCUAUUUUGCUUAUUUUUAUUAAAUUUUUUUCUUCUAAGCUUAUAGAUAUUGCGUUGGUGACAUUGUUCCAAGUAUAUAAUAUCCAACUGACGUUACAUUAGUGGUGGUUACACCGACACUAAAUGGAGGUGCAAAGUCAGGCAGUCCAACACUAGCCUUGCGCUCAAAAGCUCCAUAUAAGAACUUCUCUUACAUCUACAAAGAUAACCACCACAGAAUCCAAGCCUAUUAAUACAAGUGUGAUUGUUCAAUUACAUAACAUGUUAUUCGUUAUAACAUUCCUUUGAAUUCUUAUAAGACAAGAGAUUCUCUACUUGUUCACUCACUGACUUGAGCGUCUGAGUGUAUUCUGAAAGUACGUUGUACUCACAUUGUGGACCAGUAGCACCACCACACAUUCAAAGCCACUCUUGGGUGUGCUCUUUCCAUGCAGAGCGAGGAGAAUUUCAUAGUUUUAUUUGGGGAGACUCGUCGAUGUAAGGCUUUGGAAGUGGACGGUGGUGCCGGUAGGCUCGACAACAGUGAGGGGAGAACAAGAAUCCAGAUCUGGUUGCUGUUUGGAUACUAUUAAAUUGAUUUUAUUUUAAAAUUUUUAAUAAAAAUGUGUUUGAUAAAUCUGGACCGUGAGAUCAAUAUGAUGGUCUGAAUCCUUGUUGCACAGAGAUUGAGUGAUUCCUCUGCUGCAGAGGAUCCAGCAAUUGUUUAAUAUUAUUAUAUUAAUAUUAAAAAAAAUAAAAAUAAAAAAUAAAAUAUUUAUAUAAGAUUGAUUUAAUUUAUUAAUUUAUGCGAGCGAACUAUCAAUGGAAUAUAACUAGUAGAUUCUCAAAACCAACUCCAUCUGCAACUGGAUUUGACUGUCUGGUGACUCUAUCUCACUUCAAUUCUCUCUCUCUCUUCACUUCCUGUCUCACUUCAAUUUCUCUACAAAUCAAGUUUCAAUUUUUCUUAUUGAUCCUCAACUACUAGAAAAGGAGUGGCAGACAUUCACAUCCUCUUGUGCUAUUCACACCCUCCGUUUGUUACUUCUGCGCUUUGGGUAAACUGAGUUUUGUUGAUUUUUCCAAAUUCUCACCAACUGGGUAUCUCUGAAAACAUUUUAGGAGCUCUAGUUCAACUUAAAGUUUGCAUUUUUAGUACUCUACAUCUGUUUGUGUCUUGAGUUUUUGUGUAUCAAGCAUUGAGAACUGACUUUCUCUGCUCUUAUCAUUCCCACCAAAAUACUGUAGGGUUUCUAUUGAUUACUUCCUGAUCAACCCUAGUGAAUUAGAUUACAUGAUAUCUAUAACCGGUUAGUUUAUUUAAUUUUCCAAUUUGCUAUUAUGUUAUGUGUAAUGAGAUAUUGUGUUGCUUUGUAACAUUUGUCAACAUAGGCAUUGAUGUCAGUUAUCUGUGGGCUUCCUAUACUUGAGUGUGUUUCUUGUCUGGCCUGUUCCCGUUGGGUUUGGAAAAAAUGUCGGUACACUGCGGGCUAUGAGAGUGAAAAUUGGGGCCUGGCUACUGCAGUAGAAUUUGAGCACAUACCUCGAUUUUGUCGUGUAAUCUUAGCGGUCUAUGAGGACGAUAUUCGUAACCCCCAAUGGGCUCCCAAAGGAGGUUAUGGCAUUAAUCCUGACUGCGUUAUCUUGCGUAAGGAUUAUGGGGAUAACGAAGGUUGUGUGACUCCUUACAUGAUAUACCUUGAUCAUGAUCAUGCUGAAAUUAUACUGGCUGUUAGUGGACUUAAUUUAGCAAAGGAAAGUGAUUAUGCAGUUUUGCUUGAUAACAAACUGGGCCAGACAGAAUUUCAUGGUGGUUAUGUUCAUAAUGGGUUAUUGAAGGCGGCAGG